rnacentral:rRNA from 1 species
CAUGCAAGUCGAACGGCAGCAUGAUCUAGCUUGCUAGAUUGAUGGCGAGUGGCGAACGGGUGAGUAAUACAUCGGAACGUGCCCUGUAGUGGGGGAUAACUAGUCGAAAGAUUAGCUAAUACCGCAUACGACCUGAGGGUGAAAGUGGGGGACCGCAAGGCCUCAUGCUAUAGGAGCGGCCGAUGUCUGAUUAGCUAGUUGGUGGGGUAAAGGCCCACCAAGGCGACGAUCAGUAGCUGGUCUGAGAGGACGAUCAGCCACACUGGGACUGAGACACGGCCCAGACUCCUACGGGAGGCAGCAGUGGGGAAUUUUGGACAAUGGGCGAAAGCCUGAUCCAGCAAUGCCGCGUGUGUGAAGAAGGCCUUCGGGUUGUAAAGCACUUUUGUCCGGAAAGAAAUGGCUCUGGUUAAUACCUGGGGUCGAUGACGGUACCGGAAGAAUAAGGACCGGCUAACUACGUGCCAGCAGCCGCGGUAAUACGUAGGGUCCAAGCGUUAAUCGGAAUUACUGGGCGUAAAGCGUGCGCAGGCGGUUGUGCAAGACCGAUGUGAAAUCCCCGAGCUUAACUUGGGAAUUGCAUUGGUGACUGCACGGCUAGAGUGUGUCAGAGGGGGGUAGAAUUCCACGUGUAGCAGUGAAAUGCGUAGAGAUGUGGAGGAAUACCGAUGGCGAAGGCAGCCCCCUGGGAUAACACUGACGCUCAUGCACGAAAGCGUGGGGAGCAAACAGGAUUAGAUACCCUGGUAGUCCACGCCCUAAACGAUGUCAACUAGUUGUUGGGGAUUCAUUUCCUUAGUAACGUAGCUAACGCGUGAAGUUGACCGCCUGGGGAGUACGGUCGCAAGAUUAAAACUCAAAGGAAUUGACGG